rnacentral:lncRNA from 1 species
UUUUUUUUUUUUAAAGAGAGAGAGAGAGAGAAUUUUUUAAUAUUUAUUUUUUAGUUUCGGCGGACACAACAUCUUUGUUUGUAUGUGGUGCUGAGGAUCGAACCCGGGGCGCACACACUACCGCUUGAGCCACAUCCCCAGCCCAUAAGUGUACUUCUUAACUUGCCUUUUCCUAAUGGCUACUGAUGCUGAGCAUAAUUCCACGUGUUUUUAGCCAUUUUUUAUUGUCUUUGGAAAGAAUGACUUUUGGGUAAUGACCUCCACUGCUUAUAUGCACUGCCUGCCACCUGAUCCUGGCUGACUAAGGCAGAAGGCCCUGUCCUCCACGCCCUCAUCUUGAGGACUCUCUGGGCUGUAGCUCAGGGAAUCCUUUUGCUGCUGGCUCUGUGGCCUCCCACUACAGAGGCAGCACAGCAGCCCAGGGGGAUUUUUGGAUCUUGGCGCAUUCCACCUGCAGCAGUUUCACUAAAGCCACUCUAGAAGGUGACCUGACACAUGGCCAAGUUUG